AUUGAACGCUGGCGGCAUGCCUAACACAUGCAAGUCGAACGAGUGGCGGACGGGUGAGUAAUGUCUGUAAAACUGCCUGAUGGAGGGGGAAACUUACUGGAAACGGUAGCUAAUACCGCAUACCAUCAGAUGUGCCCAGGUGGGGUUAGCGAGUUGGUGGGGUAAAGGCUCACCAAGGCGCCGCUCCCUAGCUGGCCGGAGAGGAUGAUCAGCCAAACUGGAAAGAAGACACGGUCCAGACUCCUACGGGAGGCAGCAGUGGGGAAUAUUGCACAAUGGGCGAAAGCCUGAUGCAGCCAUGCCGCGUGUAUGAAGAAGGCCUUCGGGUUGUAAAGUACUUUCCUCGGGGAGGCGUUACCCGCAGAAGAAGCACCGGCUAACUCCGUGCCAGCAGCCGCGGUAAUAC
rnacentral:rRNA from 1 species